rnacentral:rRNA from 1 species
GAAUCUUGCGCAAUGGGCGAAAGCCUGACGCAGCGACGCCGCGUGAGGGAAGAAGGCCUUCGGGUCGUAAACCUCCGUCCUUGGGGACGAUGAUGACGGUACCCAAGGAGGAAGCCCCGGCUAACUACGUGCCAGCAGCCGCGGUAAUACAUAGGGGGCAAGCGUUAUCCGGAAUUAUUGGGCGUAAAGCGUGCGUAGGCGGUUUAUUAAGUCUGGUGUGAAAUUUUACAGCUUAACUGUAAAGGGUCAUUGGAAACUGGUAAACUUGAGUACGGUAGGGGCAAGUGGAAUUCCAAGUGGAGCGGUGGAAUGCGUAGAUAUUUGGAGGAACACCAGUAGCGAAGGCGGCUUGCUGGGCCGGAACUGACGCUGAGGCACGAGAGCGUGGGGAGCAAACA